rnacentral:misc_RNA from 1 species
AAGUCGUAACAAGGUUUCCGUAGGUGAACCUGCGGAAGGAUCAUUACCUUUCUGGCUAUUUAACUAGCAUUUUCGGGGGGCCAUAUUAGGUCUCUAAUAGCCCUCUUGACUGAAAUCCCAUGUUUUUACGUUACUACCAUGUUUCCAUCGGCGGGGCUUUAGCCUUCGCCGGUUUGGACAACCUAAAACUCUUUUGCAAUUGCAAUCAGCGUCUGAAUUAUUUAAUAAUUACAA